UGGGAACAUGCCUCCUUGUGGGGGACAACAGCGCGAAAGCGCUGCUAAUCCCGCAUACGCUCACGCAAGUGAGGAAAGCCGCAAGGCGCAGGGAGAGUGGCCCGCGGCCCAUCAGGUCGUUGGUGGGGUAAUGGCCUACCAAGCCGAUGACGGGUAGCUGGUCUGAGAGGAUAAUCAGCCACACUGGAACUGAGACACGGUCCAG
rnacentral:rRNA from 1 species